rnacentral:lncRNA from 1 species
UUUCAGCCGGUGUCUUGCAUAAGAAUUAGCUUAGACAAAAACUCACAUACACUGGCCAUUGUCAUUCUCCAUCCUGUCACCACUUUCACAUCAUGCUUUCCUAACAAGAAAAAUAUUGGCAGAGGAAUCUGAAGAACACCACAUCCAUGGGACUAGAGACUAACAAUCUUCUAAAAUUGAGAUUAUGCCUUUGAACUUCCAAAGAGGCCCAGACUGGUUAAAAAUUUUUUAAAAGAAUAUGCAACAGAGACCUUAUGUGGUCCCAGAAGCCCCAAAAUAUGUAUUACCUGGCCUUUACAGGAGGUCCGAAUGUCUUCUGAAAUUUAUAUACGAAGAGAUACCAAACCAUUGAAAACAGUCCAAAUGUCUAGCAACAGAGAAAUGGUUAGUCAAUAUGUUAAAAUACUUUUGCAGCUAUUAAAAUAAUUUAGUACAGUUGUAGAAACAAGAAAGAAUUAGGAAUUUGUUAAAUAUAAAAAAUGGCCAUAACCUAGGCAUCUUAUACGUAUCUAUUUAAUCAAUCUUUGCAGUAACACAAUGACACAGUUUUAUUAUCCUUAUUUUAUAGAUGAAGGCUCAAGGAGAGUAAGAAGCUUUUCUUAAAUAGCUAUAUUUUAUCUCAAAUAUCAUAUACUUCAUGUUAUUGUCCUUAUUCCACCAUUAGAGUUUGGGGCCAUUAACAUUUUACGUUAAAAUUACUUACGUAGGCUUGGGGUUUUUGUUUUUUAUUUUAUAGAUUCUAAAAUUGAACUUUCUAAAAUAAAUUUUCACUUUAAUUAUAAACUAUACUCCUGGUUCUUAAGGAUUGAGUUCUGGGAAGAAUUUCAGAGAUUGCCACCACAGCUAUCACGACCUCAUUCAUGAGGUGCAAGAACAUGAAACACAUAUAGCACUUUCCUAGGUAUUUAUGACUGAAAAAAGAGAAUCUUUAGUUGAUCUUGUAAAAUUAAAUAUCAAAGCCUGCAAGCCACUAGUUUCUGGCUUUUGCAUACUUUGUUGCCUACCCUCACAACAAAGAAGUUGCACCUGAUUGACCUGAUGACCAGAAAAGUGGCUAUAUGCUCCUACAUGUUUGAUAACAGAAGAAAAAUCCUAGCUGGGAAAAUGCCUAGCUAAUAUUUAAUGUAGAAAGUUACCUCAUAGAAGAGCACUUUCCAAGAUGAUGGGAAUGUUUGAGACAAGGUCACUCUGUCGCCGGAGGGCAGUGGCAUGAUCAUAGGUCACUGUAACCUGGAACUCCUGGGUUCAGGCAAUCUUCCCACUUCAGCUUCCUGAGUAGCUAGAAUUACAGGUGUGUGCUACCAUUCUGGCAGUUUUUUUUUUUUAGAGACUAUAUCUCUAUGGGGUAUAAAUUUCUCUCUAAGCAACACACUUUAUUCCUUCAAGUUUUAAUAACUGUAUUUUCACUAUUAUUCACUUAUAAAUAAUUCACUUUUGUAUUUAAAAAGAAUAAGUAUUCUUUCUUGUUUGGGAGUAUAGAGUUCCAUAUAAUGCCUGUUCAAAUUUGCUGAUUAUAUUGUUUAAAUCUUUUAAAUCAAAGGUAUUUUAUCUACUUAUUCUAUUAGUUAUUGAUAGUAUGUUGAAAUAUUCUGUAGUCCCAGCUACUAGGGGUGGGUGGGGGGUUUGAAGCGGGAAGAUUGCCAACCGCCAUUCAUAAUGCCUCCUCGUUUAUCUAGAAGUUACCCCCCUACCCCUGCACUCUUCUGUCAUACUUUGUUUGGUUCAUAUGUUUGAUUCAAAUCCAAAUGGCCUGUAUGGAUUUUAUAUUUUCUUAUAUUGUAGAUGUUUAUGUAUACAUCUAUAUCUACCAUAUACUAUAGUAACUACUAGAGGACAACAACCGUAUCAUAGGCAACUCUUUUAUGUGCAUAAUCUCUGCAGGAUACCUUUACCAUUACUAAUACUUAGCAAAUGUUCGUGGAAGGAAAGCGUUGCAAGAGGUAGGGAGGCAGGCAUGCUGGCUUUUUAAAAUCUAAUUUUCAUCAACCUCUAGGUCAGUGGUUCCCAAUACUGGUUGUUUAUUUGAAUCACUAGGGAAUUAUUUUUAAAGAGCAGUGCCACACCUAACACCUAUUUGAU